rnacentral:rRNA from 1 species
AUAUGGCUCAGGAUGAACGCUAGCGACAGGCCUAACACAUGCAAGUCGAGGGGCAGCGGAGAGGUAGCAAUACCUUUGCCGGCGACCGGCGCACGGGUGAGUAACACGUAUGCAAUCCACCUGUAACAGGGGGAUAACCCGGAGAAAUCCGGACUAAUACCCCAUAAUAUGGGCGCUCCGCAUGGAGAGCCCAUUAAAGAGAGCAAUUUUGGUUACAGACGAGCAUGCGCUCCAUUAG